CAGUCUUGACCCAUGAACGAGCAAGGGAGCAGUGGGGAGGCUGGAGCUGUCUCUUUGAUGGGCUCUGGUCACCAUGUCACACAAUGGCGUGUCUGUGACUGGACACUAGGGGUCACUCAGGGCCUGGUUCUGUGGGGUCAGGGUUAUUGACUCUUGGGAUGUGCCACCUGGCACUGCCUUUGCCUUCUGCUCAGGGCUCCCAUCUGGGACCUCCCCACCCCCUGGCCCCACACAGCCCCUGCCCUGCCCACCCCUGACCUCCUCAGGAUGAGGGACCAACCGGGGCCUGUGAAGGGUCAGAGAGCUGGGCAUCUCAUGCAUGGAUGGGCCCUCCCUCUCUCAGAGGAUGAAGAGGGGAAGGAGGGGUUAGGGAAGGUCUGCUCAGCUGUGGGGUCACAGAGGGCAGGAGCAGUCAUGAGGAACGGGCCUCCACCAUGGCCUGGGUCUCUCUCUUCCUCAUCGUACUUGCUCACUGCACAGGGUCCUUGGCCCAGUCUGUGCUGACUCAGCAGCCAUCUUCAGUGUCUGGGUCCCUGGGCCAGACACUCACCGUUUCCUGCACUGGAAGCCCAGCCAACAUCGGGGCCGGUAAGGACGGUCCUCGGUGAUCCAAAGCAGCCUCUGAGUCUAUGUCCACACGUUUGGAUCAGCUUCCAAGCAGCUUUGCCUCCAUCCCUGCCCCAUCACCCAUGAGUGUGGGUGUUUGCAAGUUCUUUCUGCCAGCCCGUGCUGGCUCAGACACCCUCCUUGUCCGCAUCUCUGAAGAAUCUAAUAGACUCAUUUUCACCC